rnacentral:tRNA from 1 species
AUGGUUCGGAGCGCUCAUUUUUCGCCCCCGCAGAGGCAGGCAGCGAGGGCCGCGGGGGCGCAGCCUGCAGCUUCUGGAAGGUUUCUCUGUGGGGCCCGUCGUCCUGACUUGCUAAUUCUAUACGCACCUUCCCCCCCAACCCCCCACCAACCCCAGAGGAAAAUCACUAUCAAUACCUUCAACACCCGUCUCCAGGCUGCGGUAGGAGGCACCCCUCCCUCCAGAUGCGGCUCACAGGCAUCGGAGCUAAAGAAGGAGGAGGAGGUGAAUGUGGUCCUGGAGGCGCGCGGGGGGCGGGGCCGUCGCCGAGCAGUUCUACUGGAAAACCAUGAGGGAGAGGCCAUCAGGAGAAGAAAAGAAUAUUUAAAAGGAAGGGGGAGGGGAAGAAAAGCUACGACCUCAGCAGGCAGAACAGAGCCGGGAAGAUGGACCUCACAGAGCUGCCAAGAUCUGGCUCACAGGGAGGUGAGACAGUUUGGGAAGGCUCCCUGCAAAAGAAAGAAAAAACAAGUCCUGUUCCCGAAACAGCAGGUCUGGCUUUCUUGCAUGGCUGUGCACCUGUUUGCUAAUUUUCUUUUUUUAACCCGUGUACUAAUUUUAACCUUUCCCUUCCCCACCUGUCCCCACGCCCUUCUGAGCGCUGGAGUCUCAAGAACUUGGAUGGAGAAGCUGGGACACACCCUUCUGGUUCCUUCCAGUCUUGCCUGGAGAUUUCUUUCAGAAGCUCUCCAGUGCCUGUUCCUGGUCACCCACAAAACACCACUUCCCCCUCUCGGCUCAUCCUACAAACAGACCUUCUCAAGAUGUCAUCAGAGUCCUUGGCCAGUUCCCAGUGGGAGGGAUGGGGUCCCAGGGAGCCCUUUCUCUCCUGUGUUGAUUUCCUGCUGUAACAAAUGAUCAUAAACGCACUGGCUGAAAACAACAGAGAUGCGUCAUCUUACAAUUCUGGGGUCAGACAUCUGACAUGGGCACCAAAGCCGAGGUCUCAGCAGGUCUGGUUCCUCCUGGAAGCUCUGGGGACAGUCUGUUUCCUGGUGUCUUCAGCUUUCUGGUGGCAGCCUGCAUUCCACGGGCCCUCCCUCCGUCUUCAAAGCCAACAGCAAGAUCAAGUCGGCAGGAGCGGACAUGUGGAGGGCCCAUACUUGGCUGCUAGGUAGUUUCAUGAAUAUGACUGUUUCCACUCCAGCAGGGAGAGUUGCGGUGCUGGAGAAGACUCCUGAGAGUCCCUUGGACUUCAAGGAGAUCAGCCAGUCCAUCCUAAAGGAAAUCAACCCUGAAUAUUCAUUGGAAGGAUUGAUGCUGAAGCUGAAACUCCAAUACUUUGGCUACCUGUUGAGAAGAGCUAACUCAUUGGUAAAGACCCUGAUGCUGGGAAAGAUUGAGGGCAGGAGGAGAAGGGGACAACAGAGGAUGAGAUAGUUGGAUGGCAUCACUGACUCAGUGAACAUAACUUUGAGCAAACUGCAAUCCAAAGGGUCACAAAGAGUCAGACGUGACAGCGACUGAACCACAACAACAGGGGGAGUUGAGAGCGGCCCUCAGCAUUUUAUUUUGGCAACUGAGAGUGUCCUUUACUGAGACAGCGGACAAAGUUUAAGAAGGGGGCUUGAUGAGAAAAGUAGGUCAUGGUAUUUCCUCAUUUAUUUGUUAUACAAUUAUUCAUUGACUCAACUAUUCUUUGAUUUUAAUUUUUGUUUUACAUUGGAGUAGAGAAUGCUGUGUUGCUUUCAGGCAUAUAACAAAGUGAUUCAGUUAUAUCCAUGCAAGCAUCCAUUCUUUAUCAAAUUUUCCUCCCAUUUAGGUUAUUACACAAUAUUGAGCCAAGUUCCAGGUGCUAUACCAUAGGUCCUUGUUGGUUAUCUAUUUUAAAUAUACUAGUGUGUACACGUCAUUUAUCUUGAAUACUAAUCCAUAAUACAUGAAUAUUAACUUAUUCCUUCCUUCCUAAAUAUUACUUGAGACUUCUAUGUGCCACACAAUGUGCUCUUGGCACUGCUUAGACAGCUGUGAGAACAAGAUGAGUAAUGUCUCUGGCCUGGGAGUUUCAUGUCUUUUGCUAUGAGACAGGCAGGCUGACUUGUUAGCCUACAAGUAGGGUUAAAAUCUAGGACCCUUCAUAGUUCUUGACAUUGUAAAAACAAACAAACUCAUAGAAAAAUAGAUCAGAUUUGUAGCUACCAGUAGUGGAAACGGGGAAGGGGGAUUAAAUGGGCUUUCCUAGUGGCUCAGCUGGUAAAGAAUCUGCCUGCAAUGCAGGAGACUCUGGUUCAAUUCCUGAGUCAGGAAGAUCCCGAAUGGCUAUCCACUCCAAUAUUCUUGGGCUUCCCUGGUGACAUAACUGGUAAAGAAUCUGCGUAGUGGGAACAUGGAGGGGAGAUUAGAUGAAGGUAAUCAAAAGGUAUAAACUCCCAGUUAUAAUAUAAAAAAGCGCUAAGGAUGUAAUGUACAAAUGAUCAAUACAAUGGACACUGCUGUACAUUAUAUAUGAAAGUUGUUGAAAGAGAAAAUUGUAAGAGCUCUCAUCACAAGGAGAAAACUUUUUUCUAUUUCUUUCGUCUUGUGUCUUUAUGAGAUGAUGGAUGUUUACUAAAACUGGUCAUCAUUUCGUGAUGUUUACAAGUCAAAUCAUUACGCUGUACACCUUCAACAUACAGUGCUGGGUGUCAUUCUAUCUCCAUAAAACUAGAAGGAAAAAACUACGUCUUAAGACCUUUAUACAGAAAAUUUCAAUUUGGCGUUUGAAGGCUAACCAAACUCUGAAAAAACCAUUAUUAAAAUUACAUCAAUUUUAAAAGUCUUUUCACUGAGUUGAAAAGCAACUGAAUACCGAAGAAAUAUAAUAGACACUAAUUCACAAUCCUUUGAUUCGAUAAAAAUGCCUUCUUUCCCGUCCCCAGGAUGGUUUGAUUUACCAGUUUUCAGGCUGGCCAGAGUGACAGAGAAUGCCUCAUGUCCCAGUGGGUUCCUCUGCUUCUGAGGCUCCCACCUGGACCAACACUCCAGUCCCCUUUGCAGACAGAUGACGAUUCUAGCCAAUGGAACACAGGGAGAAAGAACACAAGCUACUUCCUGAUCUGACCUUGAGAAAUCUUUCGGGAAAUCCUGCUUACAUUCUCUCUUCCCAUAUCCCUUGGGAAGGGAGGACCCCAGGUCUUGGAGGAAGGCAUGGCCAUAAGGCAGAAGGAGCCUGGGUUCCUGAAUGAGGCUGUAGAGCAGACUCCCUUCCCACCAAACUCCCACCGCCAGAUACAGAAUAAACUCUAUUAUACUAAGCCACUAAAACAGCGGGAUCGUUUGUUAUGGAGGUUAACCUAUGGUGAGCCCAGUCAAACAGCUCCUGUUUCAAACUCAGAAUUGGAUUUCAGAAUUGUCACAUACACACACUUGCAGCCGUAGCUAAGUGACAUAGUCUUGUGGAGGGAAAUCCCAAGACAUGGUCACCAUCUACCAUCACACUUCGUUUUUUCUCCCCAAAUCUUGCAGGCCCCUCUAAUCCAGAGAAAUGUUCCAGAGUCAUGUAUUAUAGGUUGCUGUUAUUUUUUAGCAUUUUACAUAUAUUACAGAUCUGUGUAAAUGAUAUUAUAUGACCACUCUUGCUUAUGGAAAAAUACCAUACAAUGAUGCUUGGUUCAGAAGGAGGUUCAGCUUAUCAAGAAAGGAGAUAUUGCUAAUUCAACCUGAAUACUGAGAAUUCAAAGUCCAUGAACAUUGUUUUGGAAUGCAGCAGAGCCUUCCCCGGUCCUUACUUUAUUGACCAGAUGGUCUUGUUUUUGGAAGCUUCAGUGAACACUCAGCAAAGCAUUUCAGUCCCAAAUUAAGACUUUGAGCUACUCUUCUGUUAAUUUAAACCAGUCCUCUUAGUCAAAAUUGCCUGAACCAAGAGACUCUUUUAUGGGUGAGGAAGAAACUGACCAAAUGCACGGUCUUUAGCUCAGUUUUUGCUUUCUCCUUCUCUGACCUGCUUUCUCCUUCCAUUAUAGGAAUGGAAUUAAUAAAGAUUUAAUCUGGGAAAUAAAUUCAACUAACUCAGAAAGAAAGAAGAGACAUUGUGUUUGCUUGUGAAUGACAUGAUUUCAUACAACAGUUCAGUUCGGUCACUCAGCCGUGACUGACUCUUUGCAACCCCAUGAAUUGCAGCACGCCAGGCCUCCCUAUCCAUCACCAACUCCCAGAGUUUAUCCAAAAUCGUGUCCAUCGUAUCGGUGAUGCCAUCCAGCCAUCUCAUCCUCUGUCAUCCCCUUCUCCUCCUGCCCCCAAUCCCUCCCAGCAUCAGAGUCUUUUCCAAUGAGUCAACUCUUCGCAUCAGGUGGCCAAAGUACUGGAGUUUCAGCUUUAGCAUCACUCCUUCCAAAGAAAUCCCAGGGCUGAAUUCCUUUAGGAUGGACUGGUUGGAUCUCCUUGCAGUCCAAAGGACUCUCAAGAGUC